rnacentral:rRNA from 1 species
GACGAACGCUGGCGGCGUGCCUAAUACAUGCAAGUAGAACGCACAGUUUAUACCGUAGCUUGCUACACCAUAGACUGUGAGUUGCGAACGGGUGAGUAACGCGUAGGUAACCUGCCUGGGAGCGGGUGAUAACUAUUGGAAACGAUAGCUAAUACCGCAUAAUAUUAAUUAUUGCAUGAUAAUUAAUUGAAAGGUGCAAUUGCACCACUACCAGAUGGACCUGCGUUGUAUUAGCUAGUAGGUGAGGUAACGGCUCACCUAGGCGACGAUACAUAGCCGACCUGGGAGGGGGAUCGGCCAAACUGGGACUGGGACACGGCCCAGACCCCUACGGGAGGGAGCAGUAGGGAAUCUUCGGGAAUGGACGAAAGUCUGAACGAGCAACGCCGCGUGAGUGAAGAAAGGUCUCGGAUCGUAAAGAUCUGUUGUAAGAGAAGAACGGGUGUGAGAGUGGAAAGUUCACACUGUGACGGUAUCUUACCAGAAAGGGACGGCUAACUACGUG